CCAUCGGUGGUUCAAUGGUAGAAUGCUCCCCUGCCACGCGAGGGGCCGGGGUUCGAUUCCCGGCCGAUGCU
rnacentral:tRNA from 1 species